GGAUAUGGUGUUUAAUGGUAGCAUCCGAACUUUGGGAGUUUGUGGAGUGAGUUCGAGUCUCGCUAUCC
rnacentral:tRNA from 1 species